GGGGGAUAUUGCACAAUGGGCGCAAGCCUGAUGCAGCGACGCCGCGUGAAGGAAGAAGGCUUUCGGGUUGUAAACUUCUUUGACGAGGGACGAAAGAAAUGACGGUACCUCGAAAACAAGCCACGGCUAACUACGUGCCAGCAGCCGCGGUAAUACGUAGGUGGCAAGCGUUGUCCGGAUUUACUGGGUGUAAAGGGCGCGUAGGCGGGAUAGCAAGUCAGAUGUGAAAUGCCAGGGCUUAACCCUGGAGCUGCAUUUGAAACUGCUGUUCUUGAGUAUCGGAGAGGCAGGCGGAAUUCCUAGUGUAGCGGUGAAAUGCGUAGAUAUUAGGAGGAACACCAGUGGCGAAGGCGGCCUGCUGGACGACAACUGACGCUGAUGCGCGAAAGCGUGGGGAGCAAACA
rnacentral:rRNA from 1 species